rnacentral:rRNA from 1 species
CUUUUUCUUUCACCGGAGCUUGCUCCACCGAAAGAAAAGGAGUGGCGAACGGGUGAGUAACACGUGGGUAACCUGCCCAUCAGAAGGGGAUAACACUUGGAAACAGGUGCUAAUACCGUAUAACAGUAGAAACCGCAUGGUUUCUAUUUGAAAGGCGCUUUUGCGUCACUGAUGGAUGGACCCGCGGUGCAUUAGCUAGUUGGUGAGGUAACGGCUCACCAAGGCAACGAUGCAUAGCCGACCUGAGAGGGUGAUCGGCCACAUUGGGACUGAGACACGGCCCAAACUCCUACGGGAGGCAGCAGUAGGGAAUCUUCGGCAAUGGACGAAAGUCUGACCGAGCAACGCCGCGUGAGUGAAGAAGGUU